GCUCGAGUGGCGAACGGGUGAGUAACACGUGGGUGAUCUGCCCUGCACUUCGGGAUAAGCUUGGGAAACUGGGUCUAAUACCGGAUAGGAGCCAUCUUUAGUGUGGUGGUUGGAAAGUUUUUCGGUGUAGGAUGAGCUCGCGGCCUAUCAGCUUGUUGGUGGGGUAAUGGCCUACCAAGGCGGCGACGGGUAGCCGGCCUGAGAGGGUGUACGGCCACAUUGGGACUGAGAUACGGCCCAG
rnacentral:rRNA from 1 species